AAAAAAAACUCAAAUUUAUUUUGAAAUUGAACUAAAUCAAAUUGGUUACAAGAAAGCAUCCAAAUAGGCAAAGUUAAAUUGGGCCAAAUUAUUAUCUCACUAUAUAUAUUGGGCCAAAUUCACAUGCGCAUUUACAUUUGCACAGAAGCAAAUGCCAAAUGCCAAGUAAACCAGGACACUACAAGCAAAAUUUUGGUUAUCAAUUUGAUAUAUGAAAAUUUAUUUAUGCCUUUAAAUGGAUCUAAUGGUAACCCAAAAUGUAGGAAUUUUCAUGCAGAAUAGCAGCCCUGAAUAGUUUCUUGCAGAUCAAAAGGAGGGUUCUUCUCCAAGCAAAAGUUCCCUGAAUAUAGCCUCACACAAGCCCUUCUCAUGAAUCAUCAAAUGACCACCAUCAGGAACUUCAUGAUAUUUGAUCCAUGGCAGCUUCUGAGCAACAUAUCUCUGCAAUUCAAAUGGCACCAACUUGUCUUCAUGACCUUCCCACAGGUAAACACAAGCCUCAUUAUCAGGAAAUGGAUUCUUUAGCUUCAUUGGAUCAAAUUCCCAUUUCCCAAAAUGCACAAUCAUGUCUCUAUGCAGUGAUUCAUGGACUCCUUGCUGCCUAACCUUGUGCUCAUCAGGAUUUGGCACUUGAGACAUUUGCUUUAUAGUUUCUAAAUCUCUUCUGUUUAGUAGAAUUGGGUGUCUCUGCAUGAUAGAGGAGUAAGGGAAGAGCUUCUGAGUCAUCCACCAGUAUACAAGUGUAGGGAUGUAGUGUGCAAUGCUCAGUUUGACUUGAUCCCUCUUGAGUUGCUUCCUAAAGACCUCUUUUGCUAGUUUAGGAGGGAAAGAAGGCCACCAGAAAUUUAUGACUGGAACUACUAGAGUCACACCUGCUAGCCUGUGUGGGAUAUAUUUGAGGCAAGCCCAAAUGGAAUGGGUUCCAAUGGAAACUCCAAUCACAUGAAACUUGGGUCCUAGAUGUAAUUGAUCAGCUAGUUCUUGAAUGUCAAAUGCUUCACUCUUCACUGAUCUUUUUGGGUUUGGAUCACUUUCUCCA
rnacentral:misc_RNA from 1 species